rnacentral:rRNA from 1 species
CAUAACCUGGUUGAUCCUGCCAGUAGUCAUACGCUUGUCUCAAAGAUUAAGCCAUGCAUGUCUAAGUAUAAACGACUCUAUACUGUGAAACUGCGAAUGGCUCAUUAUAUCAGUUAUAGUUUAUUUGAUAGUACCUUACUACUUGGAUAACCGUAGUAAUUCUAGAGCUAAUACAUGCAUAAAACCCCGACUUCU